rnacentral:rRNA from 1 species
AUUGAACGCUGGCGGCAGGCCUAACACAUGCAAGUCGAGCGGACGAAGGGAGCUUGCUCCUGGAUUCAGCGGCGGACGGGUGAGUAAUUCCUAGGAAUCUGCCUGGUAUUGGGGGAUAACGUCCGGAAACGGGCGCUAAUACCGCAUACGUCCUGAUGUAGAAAGUGGGGGAUCUUCGGACCUCACGCUAUCAGAUGAGCCUAGGUCGGAUUAGCUAGUUGGUGGGGUAAAGGCCUACCAAGGCGACGAUCCGUAACUGGUCUGAGAGGAUGAUCAGUCACACUGGAACUGAGACACGGUCCAGACUCCUACGGGAGGCAGCAGUGGGGAAUAUUGGACAAUGGGCGAAAGCCUGAUCCAGCCAUGCCGCGUGUGUGAAGAAGGUCUUCGGAUUGUAAAGCACUUUAAGUUGGGAGGAAGGGAAGUAAGUUAAUACAUUGCUGUUUUGACGUUACCAACAGAAUAAGCCCCGGCUAACUUCGUG